UGGUCUGUAACACAUGUGUUUGGUGUAUUUGGUACCCCUAAAAUCACAUGUGGCCCCAGCCUGGCCCCUCCAUUUGAAAUUUUCUAGAACCUCCAC